rnacentral:rRNA from 1 species
AAACUUUCAACAAUGGAUCUCUUGGUUCUGGCAUCGAUGAAGAACGCAGCGAAAUGCGAUAAGUAAUGUGAAUUGCAGAAUUCAGUGAAUCAUCGAAUCUUUGAACGCACAUUGCGCCCCCUGGUAUUCCGGGGGGCAUGCCUGUUCGAGCGUCAUUU